GCUCUGUGGCUGUGACUGCUGUGU
rnacentral:misc_RNA from 1 species